rnacentral:rRNA from 1 species
AUUGAACGCUGGCGGCAGGCUUAACACAUGCAAGUCGAGCGGGGAAGGUUGCUUCGGUAACUGACCUAGCGGCGGACGGGUGAGUAAUGCUUAGGAAUCUGCCUAUUAGUGGGGGACAACAUUCCGAAAGGGAUGCUAAUACCGCAUACGUCCUACGGGAGAAAGCAGGGGAUCAUUUGACCUUGCGCUAAUAGAUGAGCCUAAGUCGGAUUAGCUAGUUGGUAGGGUAAAGGCCUACCAAGGCGACGAUCUGUAGCGGGUCUGAGAGGAUGAUCCGCCACACUGGGACUGAGACACGGCCCAGACUCCUACGGGAGGUAGCAGUGGGGAAUAUUGGACAAUGGGGGGAACCCUGAUCCAGCCAUGCCGCGUGUGUGAAGAAGGCCUUUUGGUUGUAAAGCACUUUAAGCGAGGAGGAGGCUCUCUUGGUUAAUACCUGAGAAGAGUGGACGUUACUCGCGGAAUAAGCACCGGCUAACUCUGUGCCAGCCGCCGCCGUAA